UCUCUAUCUCUCUCUCUCUCUCUGCAAAAUUAUAAAAGCUGACAAUCUAAAUUCUAUUCCAUGCCUGAUCUACCAAAUUCCAUUUCAACUUCCCCUGUCUUUGAUCUCUCAACUUAAGAUUUCUUUGCCAAUUCGGUCGGUUUAGUUUUCUUUGAGCAUUUUUGGUUUGCUAGUGAGGAGGAUGAUAGAAUGCAGCGUCUGUCAUUCCAUACUUUCUCCCACAAGCAAAACCAUUUCCAGGGCUUACGAUAGGCACCGGGGUAAUGUCUCUUCCAAAACUCGGGCACUUAACUUUCUUCUGGUCGUUGGUGAUUGCAUCUUGGUCGGUCUCCAGGUGCACAUCCCUAUCUCUCUUUUCUCACUCACUCACUCACUUUUGUUGAUCUAUUUAGCUUUUGCUUAUUUAAUUUUUUCUUUUUUCUGCAAGCCUAUAUUGGUUUACAUGUCUAAGGUGGAUGGCCAAUUCAAGUUUAGUCCUAUAAGUGUUAACUUCUUGACUGAGGCUGCUAAAGUUCUUUUUGCUAUUGUUAUGCUUUUCAUCCAGGCACAGCGUAAACAGGUUGGAGAGAAACAUUAUCUCUCUUUUUCUAUCUUUGUACAGGCUGCUCGAAAUAACGUGCUUCUUGCUGUUCCAGCUCUCCUUUAUGCUAUUAAUAAUUAUUUGAAGUUUAUUAUGCAGCUAUACUUCAAUCCUGCAACAGUGAAGAUGCUGAGCAAUCUGAAGGUUUUGGUAAUUGCAGUCUUGUUGAAAAUAAUCAUGAAGCGACGAUUUUCAAUUAUUCAGUGGGAGGCUCUUGCUUUAUUGCUCAUUGGGAUUAGUGUGAAUCAGUUACGGUCUCUACCUGAGGGCACUACUGCCAUGGGCCUUUCAGUUGCAACAGGGGCAUACUUGUAUACGCUAAUUUUUGUGACUGUUCCAUCACUAGCAUCAGUCUACAAUGAGUAUGCUUUGAAGAGCCAGUUUGAGACCAGCAUUUAUCUUCAGAACCUCUUUCUUUAUGGGUAUGGUGCCAUAUUCAACUUCCUAGCCAUCCUAAUAACUGCCAUUUUUAAAGGUCCUACUAGCUUGGAUAUCAUGCAAGGUCACUCAAAGGCUACCAUGCUUUUGAUAUGCAACAAUGCAGCACAAGGAAUUUUAUCUUCUUUCUUUUUCAAAUACGCAGAUACGAUAUUGAAGAAGUACUCAUCAACUGUAGCCACAAUUUUUACAGGAAUAGCAUCUGCUGCACUUUUUGGUCAUACCCUGACUAUGAAUUUUAUCUUAGGAAUCUCUAUUGUCUUUAUCUCCAUGCAUCAGUUCUUUUCACCACUUUCAAAGGUUAAGGAUGAACCAGUGAAAGGUGGUCUGGAGAUGGUGGAUGUUGAAAACAACCAGAGGUCUAAGGAUGCAUCCUUCAUAAAUAUGGCCGCAGGAGCAAAUGAGGAUGGUAGUCAUCCAGUUGAACAUGAUGAGAAGGCGCCACUUCUUCCUAUCUGAAGUUUACUAUAUGGGUAUGGAUUCAAACUGAUGCUUAGGAUGUCAAAGUUGCAAUUAUUUUUGUUAGCUGUGCUCUGUCCAGUAUAGUGAAUUAAGAAGGCCCUGUUGAAAUUGUUAUUAGAGCUUUAGCUAGCAUCUAAAAAACUUACCCCCCGAAAAGAUUCAUGGUAAAGUAAAGGACUGUUUAGGGAUAAUUGCAAAGCAAUGCAAGUUAGUCUAACUUGAAACAAAAUUCCUUUGUCUAGUGGACAUAUAAAAUACAAAAAUUUUCCAUGUUAAUUUUGUUUGCACAUGAUGCACAAGAUAUGGCGCUGUACAAUCCUCAAGAGGAAAAUACCCAAAGCGCUCUAUGAUGAAGUUCUACUGGGCUACUCCUUCAAUAGAUUGUCUAUAUGUCUUGUUUUCCAUAUGGUAUAGCCUAGAAGAAUCCAUAUGUGGCCAAUUAAUAAAAUUGUGAGAAUGAUCUCAAAUAAAUGAUGAGCAAUGAUUAGAAUUAUUCGUUUACUGGAAACUACAGGUUGAUGAAAGAAGUACCAGAUGUAGAUAUAGAAUAAGAGUAAAAAAGUACUAGAAAUCCUCUCCUUUUUCCCCAACCCAUUUUGUUGAUCCUUUUCCAUUUUAAUAUAAUUAUCUUUUUGUUUUUUCUGAACUUAUUUUGAUGUAGCAUUGAACUUAUUUUACAUCAUAAUAUUGGUGAAAUUGAAAUCUCAUUGCAGGGAGCGAUCAGUGUGUACAUUUCUAGGCAGGAAUUAUCAGUAGUUGAGAAUACCAGCACUUCCAGUGACACAAUAGAAUAAAUGCUGUAGAAGAGAUUCUUUAUUUCAUUUUGGGGUUUGUGGGAACCCACGCCAUACCUUUGAGUAAGCUAUCCACUAAACAUCUUUGGAGCAUGAGAGGCUAUUGAGCACCUGGUUUCUGGGAAAGGGGAAGGGGAGACAGGUUAAAACAAUAUUUAUAAAGAAAUGCAGCAAUUUUUGUAAUUCGUCGGUCUAUGCCAUAUCCAGAAAACUAUUACUUUUUAUUGUGAUAUCUCUUCAUAUAUGUUCGACAACACUUUCAUGAAUUUUGGUAAUGUAAAUGUCUUGAAUCCUAUAAUGUC
rnacentral:misc_RNA from 1 species